GACGAACGCUGGCGGCGUGCCUAAUACAUGCAAGUCGAACGCACUCUCGUUUAGAUUGAAGGAGCUUGCUCCUGAUUGAUAAACAUUUGAGUGAGUGGCGGACGGGUGAGUAACACGUGGGUAACCUGCCCUAAAGUGGGGGAUAACAUUUGGAAACAGAUGCUAAUACCGCAUAAAACCUAACACCGCAUGGUGUAGGGUUGAAAGAUGGUUUCGGCUAUCACUUUAGGAUGGACCCGCGGUGCAUUAGUUAGUUGGUGAGGUAAAGGCUCACCAAGACCGUGAUGCAUAGCCGACCUGAGAGGGUAAUCGGCCACACUGGGACUGAGACACGGCCCAGACUCCUACGGGAGGCAGCAGUAGGGAAUCUUCCACAAUGGACGAAAGUCUGAUGGAGCAACGCCGCGUGAGUGCAGAAGGUUUUCGGAUCGUAAAACUCUGUUGUUGGAGAAGAAUGUAUCUGAUAGUAACUGAUCAGGUAGUGACGGUAUCCAACCAGAAAGACC
rnacentral:rRNA from 1 species